ACGGCUCAAAGGGUGGUUAAAAACAAAUGCAAUAGAAUUAAAAGUUGAUUAAGCUGUUUUACGUAAUUAUUAACCAUAAACUCAAUGACGAAAGUAAUUCUAGAUAAUGACCCCACGAAAAUUAGGUUACAAACUAGGAUUAGAUACCCUACUAUGCCUAAUUGUAAACUUUGAAGCAUCCGCCUGAGAACUACGAGCCACAGCUUAAAACUCAAAGGACUUGGCGGUGCUCUACACCCACCUAGAGGAGCCUGUUCUAUAAUCGACAAUACCCGAUAAACCUCACCAUUUAUUGCCAAUACCGCCUAUAUACCGCCGUCGUCAGCUUACCCUUAAGGGAUAAACAGUAAGCACAAUAAUAAACAUUAAAACGUCAGGUCAAGGUGUAGCGUAUUAAAUGGGAAGAAAUUGGCUACAUUUUCUACUAGAAAAUACGAAAUAUUUAAUGAAAUUAAAUAUGAAGGCGGAUUUAGCAGUAAAAAGAAAACAGAGAGUUCUUUUUAAUUCGGUCCUGGAGCGCGCACACACCGCCCGUCACCCUCCUCAAACACCCAAUAAUAUUAUAUAAAUAAAAUUAAUCAAUAAGAAGAGGUAAGUCGUAACAUGGUAAGUGUACCGGAAGGUGUACUUGGUUU
rnacentral:rRNA from 1 species